AUACGGAGGAUCCAAGCGUUAUCCGGAAUCAUUGGGUUUAAAGGGUCCGUAGGCGGGCUAUUAAGUCAGAGGUGAAAUCCCACAGCUUAACUGUGGAACUGCCUUUGAUACUGGUAGUCUUGAGUUAUAUGGAAGUAGAUAGAAUGUGUAGUGUAGCGGUGAAAUGCAUAGAUAUUACACAGAAUACCGAUUGCGAAGGCAGUCUACUACGUAUAUACUGACGCUAAGGGACGAAAGCGUGGGGAGCGAACAGGAUUAGAUACCCCAGUAGUCC
rnacentral:rRNA from 1 species